UCAAAAACAUGUCCUUUAGAAUUUAAUUUAAGGUCUAGCCUGCCCACUGAAAUUAUUUGAAGGGCCGCAGUAAUUUGACUGUGCAAAGGUAGCAUAAUCAUUAGUUUUUUAAUUGAAAGCUUGUAUGAAGGGUUGGACGAGGUAAAUUCUGUCUCUAUUUAAUUUAAUAUAGAAUUUAAUUUUUAAGUUAAAAAGCUUAAAUUUUUUUAAAAGACGAGAAGACCCUAUAGAUCUUUAUAUUAAAAAUAUUAAUUUUAAUUAAGAAUAAUUAAUUUUUUAGURUUAUUAAUAUUUUAUUGGGGUAAUAAGAAGAUUARUUUAAUUCUUUUUUAUUUAUACAUUAAUAAAUGAAUAUAUGAUCCAAUUUUAUUGAUUAAAAGAUUAAGUUACCUUAGGGAUAACAGCGUAAUUUUUUUUGAGAGUUCAUAUCGAUAAAAAAGUUUGCGACCUCGAUGUUGGAUUAAAAAUUAUCUUAGGUGCAAAAGUUUAAGAUUUUGGUCUGUUCGACCAUUGAAUUUUUACAUGAUCUGAGUUCCAA
rnacentral:rRNA from 1 species